rnacentral:rRNA from 1 species
AGAGUUUGAUCCUGGCUCAGAAUGAACGCUGGCGGCGUGCCUAACACAUGCAAGUCGGAUGUGCCCGCAAGGGUGCAUGGCAGACGGGUGAGUAACGCGUGGGGAAUCUACCUCUUUGUGGGGAAUAACGCUCCGAAAGGAGUGGUAAUACCGCAUGAGAUCCAUGGCUGGGAUGCUGUGGAUGAAACCUGGGGACCUUCGGGCCUGGGGCAAGGAGAGGAUCCUGCGUCUGAUUAGCUAGUUGGUGAGGUAACGGCCCACCAAGGCAACGAUCAGUAGCCGGCCUGAGAGGGUGAUCGGCCACACUGGAACUGAGACACGGUCCAGACUCCUACGGGAGGCAGCAGUGGGGAAUUUUGCGCAAUGGGCGAAAGCCUGACGCAGCAACGCCGCGUGGGUGAUGAAGGUCUUCGGAUCGUAAAACCCUGUCGUCAGGGACGAAGGUUUGGGCGUUAAUAGCGCUUAAGCUUGACGGUACCUGGAGAGGAAGCCCCGGCUAACUCUGUGCCAGCAGCCGCGGUAAUACAGAGGGGGCAAGCGUUAUUCGGAAUUAUUGGGCGUAAAGGGCGCGUAGGCGGCUUUUUAAGUGAGAUGUGUAAUCCCCGAGCUCAACUUGGGAACUGCAUCUCAUACUGGAAGGCUAGAGUACUGGAGAGGGUGGUAGAAUUCCACGUGUAGCGGUGAAAUGCGUAGAGAUGUGGAGGAAUACCAGUGGCGAAGGCGGCCACCUGGACAGUAACUGACGCUGAGGCGCGAAAGUGUGGGUAGCAAACAGGAUUAGAUACCCUGGUAGUCC